GACGAACCGUGCGAACGUUGUUCGGAAUCACUGGGCAUAAAGGGCGCGUAGGCGGCUUCUCAAGUCAGGGGUGAAAUCCGGCAGCUUAACUGUCGAAGUGCCCUUGAUACUGACGAGCUCGAGGGAGGUAGGGGUGUGUGGAACUUCCGGUGGAGCGGUGAAAUGCGUUGAUAUCGGAAGGAACGCCGGUGGCGAAAGCGACACACUGGAUCUCUUCUGACGCUGAGGCGCGAAAGCCAGGGGAGCAAACGGG
rnacentral:rRNA from 1 species